GCUACCUUCCCUGUUUUCCUUUCCCUGUUGCUUCAUAACCUGGGUUGUGAGUAACUAAAUCCACUUUCCCUUCUUCCCUUUCUUUCCCCUCUCUCCUCCCUGAUGAAGGAACAUUUAUUCCGAAAGCUAGGAACUUAAAUUUUCGGUUGUUUUUUGUGUUUCUAUCGGCUGUACUGAGCUGACUUUGAACAUAGGAGUAACUUCAGAUGCUUUUAGAAGAUCAGAAGAUGUAUAAUGAGCAGUUACAUAUUUGAGUGGGGGUCAGUUAUAUUGCAGAAGAGCUGUAAGAUUCUACUGGAUAUACCAUCAAUUCCUGCUGAAUAGUGUUCAUCUCGGAGCAGAUUUUCUGGAGCCAGAGGUUUUGCACUAUUUCACAUGGAGAUUCGUAUUACUUCCAGUUGAACAGGAAAUAUGUCAAGUUCAAACAGGUGCUCUAGCUGACUGCUGUCUGUUUGUUUUAUGGCUGCUUUUGAUACAAUCAGAUACAAAAAACCAUCACAAAUGCUUGUAUCUUAUCAUGCUUCAAAGGGUUCAAAAAUGCAAAGGGGAGCAAGAUUGUUAAAAAAAAUUACCACUAUUUUUAAAUGCAUAGAAAUGAAACAUUCAGAUUUAUAAUACUGAAUUAUGUAUAAAACUUGCUUUGUAUUUAUUAGUAUGAAAGCAAGUUUUAUUUUCUAACAGGGUAAAACUAUUAGAAGGAUAUGGAAAGGUUUGAAGAUAAUGAAUGAAUUUAAUGUAACAGGAAUAUUGAUAGUUUUAAGUUGGUAAGUAGGACAUAUAAAUUAGCAACAGUGAAAUACAUGUUUCACUGUGUAACAAGGAAAAAAUUACUGUCUGUGGCCUCUUAUAUGAAAGGGAUACAUUUUACUGACAAACUUGCAGUGACUCAUACAUAAUCAUCAUUACACAUGAGGAAGGAAAAGAUUUGCUGCUCUAUUUUCAGAAACAAAUAAUACACAUCUGGUUUUAUUUUGACAUAAAAAAGUAAAUCAAUCCUCAUCCUGAAGGUUGUUACAGACACCACAAUGCCUUACUAGGAAUGAUCCUGAUUGGUAACUGAUAGUUACCAACCAUCCACAGGCAGGAUGACGACUCCAGCUAGUGACCAAAUGGUGUAAAUUGCCCUGAAGAUGACCCCAUUGUGGGCUGAAACCGGUUGGCGGCAAAAUAAAUAAUACAAUUGUGGCUGUCAUUUUGAAUAAUUGAUUAUAAGUAAAUUAUCACUGUUUAUCUCCAUACAACUAUGUUGUCUAAAAUUUUCUGUUGAAUAAAUUUAGAAAACUAGGAUCUGAUGCAGACUGGGCAAUAGAUCUGCUGACAUCUUUGUGUUUUUCAUGUACACAUUACGAGAAUAAUGUAAGUGAGAUUAGAGUGCAUCCACAAUCAUACAUACAGUCCUUUUCUCAUGCACACCUUACACAAAUGCAUUAGGCCUUGAAGUGGUUAAUAUUAAUAUCAUGAAUACUUGAAUACUCUGCUGGGUACUGUAGUGCGACAUGUGGAGUACGAGUACAUAUGUACUCCAGUUGGUUAGUUGACUGUUCUUCCACAGAUCAUUUUACUAUGAAGUUAGACAUGUGAGCUUAAUACAGAAAUUAAACAUAAUUGGAAGUUAAGAAGCAUCCAUGCACAUAAUUACUUACAGGUCCAGUUAAUUUCAGAUUAAUGUUGCGCUAUUUGUUCACAUAUCAUCAUGAGUCACUCACACAUAAUUUCAGAUGACUUCAGAUCCAUGGUGGUCUCCCUGCUUCUCCAUUAUAUUUUUUGUACAGUCCCAUUUGUCUGUCUGAAAGACUGAAUCAGUGUUUCUCAAUAAUGCAGGAGAUGAACCCAGGAAGCUGAGACCAGGUUAUUAUUUUCCAUCAUAUAUCUUAAUCAUACAGUGUUCUGAUAACAUACAUUAUACUCUGAAAACAUCCUCACUUUGCUUUAAUUAACUGUACAGUAUAUACUAUUUGAGAGUUAUGCCUUAACUGUAUUUUAGAACAUGUUGAUUUUAGUUAUCUCUUUCUUUUCAUUUGACAAUUCAAUUCCCAGGUAGAUAAUCAUGUUGUGAGAUUUUUGUUUAAUUUUUCUCCUUAGAUGUAAGUUAAGUCUGGCUCUUGUUCUAUGAUCAAAAGUAGAGCAGUUAUUGCAAUAAUUAGUUUUUUUCUCAAUUUGGCAAAUGGAUUGGUAGUCGUGUAGUGACCUUAGCAACCAACCUACCAGUCAAGUACAGUGAAAUAUAAUUAGCA